AAGUCGUAACAAGGUUUCCGUAGGUGAACCUGCGGAAGGAUCAUUAACACGUUUAUCCAACGUAUCAACCAACGAGAACUGUUUUCAAAUGCUCUCCGGAGGCAAGGAAUGAGUGGAGUCCGACUGAGGUGUUGAAAUGGGACUUGCUUCGGCGUCAGCCUCUAUCUUACUACUUGGGCACGAUCGAAAGGUUGUGCUCAGACACUGUAUCUUUGCCAAAGGAUUUAUAAAUUCUGCGCAGGGUGUCCCCUUUCAUUGACUUCUGCACAGGUCAAAACUUUUUAACAUAUUUCACCCCAAUUUUGCUAGUUGACUUUAUUCUGUUGCGAUUGAAAAGCUUUUUGGUUUUUCAAUUUGCGCACGUUUGAUUAAUUGAACGUUAAACACAAUACAACUCUUAGCAAUGGAUAUCUUGGUUCUC
rnacentral:misc_RNA from 1 species